CUCCGAUCGGAACUAUUUUUCGCGGAGUUGGCGUCUAGUCGGACCUAAAUUCCGCAGGAAAUGGGAGCGCCGUGGUUUGGGGGAGGAGUCCGGGGCUGCUACGAAGUUCCGCGAGACCUUUGAACAGUUUUGGCGUCCGAGGUGAAGAGCGAAAGCAUAACUUCAAGAUACUGCAGUUUUGGUUCCAGACCACCGGGAUAAAAGAUACAUCUCUGGUGUCUUCAUCCCUUUUAGAACUGCAGAAGGUGCUCCAGGGGGCUAGUACAAAGCACAGAGUCUGGAAGUCUGGAGAAUCCGGUCCUAGUCACAGAUCUUUUACUAUUAAUGUAAGUGACUUUCUUCUAAAUAUGUACCCGGUGGACUUCCCUGGUAGUGCAGUGGUGAAGAAUCCACCUGCCAAUGCAGGGGACACAGGUUCGACCCCUGGUCCGGGAAGAUCCCAUAUGCCACGGAGCAACUAAGCCCAUGCGUCACAGCUACUGAGCCCACGUGCCACAACUACUGAAGCCUGCGUGCCUAGAGCCCAUGCUCCACAACAAGAGAAGCCACUGCAAUGAGAUGCCUACGCACCGCAACGAAGAGUAGCCCCCGCUCGCCGCAGCUAGAGAAAGCCCGCGCACAGCAAUGAAGACCCAGUGCGGCCAAAAAUAAAUAAAUUAAA